UACAUGUAGGUAAAAUGCCCAUAGGUGUAAU
rnacentral:piRNA from 1 species